rnacentral:snoRNA from 1 species
AAGCCAUAUGAUGAUGAUGGAUUAGAUUUUCUCACGAUGGUAAUCUGAGACACUUUUAUUUUUCGUUUUUGAUGUAGUGAUCCAAUACUUCUGAUGGUU